UGAGGAACAUGACCUUCGGCGGGGGAGUAGCCGGCCCAACGGCCGGGUAGUACCGCGUACGACCACAUGGGGACAUCCCUGAGUGGUGAAAGCAGCAAUGCGCCGAUGGAGUGCCUCGCGGCCUAUCAGCUAGUUGGUGAGGUAACGGCUCACCAAGGCGACGACGGGUAGCUGGUCUGAGAGGAUGGCCAGCCACAGUUGGGACUGAGACACGGCCAGACCUCUACGUGGG
rnacentral:rRNA from 1 species